ACACAGUGGAAUCACCUGGAGAUCUUGAAAACCAAAUCUUCUCCUCCAGAGUCUGUCAUGAGGUGAGCUUGCCAGAGCUUAUUGGAGCAGUGCUGACCAUGAUGAGACCUGUAGACCUCUAGGUAGCUAGACCUUUCUAGCUCUGCAUGAAACUAAGUAGCAUGAACCUCUAACACUUCUUGUGUUAAUAUUCACUUCUUGCGUGAAAUAUUAGGAAGCCCCCUGUGGCCACUCACGUAAGCUAGGUCUUCAGUAUGAAUUUGGCAGUAAUGUGACUGAUAAUUUUGUUCUCCAGGAUUUUGAACUUAGCGAAGAAAAU
rnacentral:lncRNA from 12 species